rnacentral:lncRNA from 1 species
AUGAUCUCCCUCAAAUUGAAGCAUGCAUGCCUGCUGUGCAUGAUAAUGGCUGUGAUAACCCAGAGUCAGUCAACAUUAGACUCUCCUGUUCCAAAACAAUGGGUCAAUCCGAGCAAACUUAGUAACGAAGUAGGUUCCUGGCAGUCCUCAAAAAGCUCAGAAAAUUCCCUGAGCACAGAAUCUGACCAAAUUUCAUCCUCCGAAUCUUCAAAUGCUCAUCGAUUUACGGCCCUCUUAGCUGAUCUUUCUCGAGAAAAACCGAUUUCACGGCUACGGCUCGAAAAAUCAGCUCGCAGAAGACCAAGGACUCCCAAAACUAGUAAGCUGUCUUUGCCAAUCAGAAGUCAACGACUCAAACUGAACGAGCUAGCUGAUCAAGAAAGUCAGGAGUUCUCGAAAAAUACGCGUGAAACCAAAAAUGGGCCGAUGAAAUACGAGAUUCCUUUGAAAAUUUCGCAGGGAUCCGAUUCAGAAGACGAGAAAGCUCAGCGGUUGAAAAGCUCAAGUCUAGAAGCCAACGAGAUUCCAACCGUUGGAGAGCCUUUGACAAAUUUCUACCGAAGAUGGGAAGCGACCCCAAAGGCCGAUUCCGAGAGGACCACUGUCAGGAACUAUUUCCUCGAACAGUAUUCGGACAAGAAAACUGAAGGCAAGGUAAUUACCACGGAGUUUAACCCUUCACUCUCUAAGAAUGUAGAGAGCUCAGACUUUGGCCUUAAAACUGCGCUUCCAAAGCAGACUUAUCAAAGUCCUGAGAUGAGCCCUAAUGCAGGGACCUCACCCACAAGAAUCUUCGCAGAGAAAAUCGAAGAACUGUGGUCUCAACCUCAACAUCUAAGUCCCGUUGAGAUAUCAAUGGAAGCAAAGGGUCUAAGACCGCAAUCUCCUGAGAAUCACGAUCAAAACUUGGAGCUGCGGGCAUCGAAUAGCCGCGAUGUUAUGCCAGCAUUUGAACACUACGUUAUCAAUCCCUCAGACAUGAAUCCCCAGCUAAAAAGUUCGGUCAAUACACGAAAUUCAGAGGUACAUUUCCGUCGAAAUUCCUCAAACUUUCAAACAUUACCUUCCCAGAUGCCGCUUCAAAAUGUGCAAAAUUCAGGGACCGCUUUCCGAAACCUACCGAACUCUCAAGAGAAAAGUAUACCGAGUUUCGACACUGUAGAUAGCGUAGAGCGAGCGUUCGCUCCACGAGGUAUCGGGAUGAAAAGUCAGCCUUUCCCGUUAGACAGGCAAACCUUUUGCUCGUCGAUUUUGAGGCAGGAAGGCACUGACCCACAUGAGGACCCUACGCUUAAACUCCAGCGCUCCAGUCAGUUCAUCCCGUUCUGUCCAGAGGUACAUAACAUCACGGAGAUUUACUCGGAGUUGUGUGAGGACUGGGUGAGUGACGACGAGUUUUUCGAGGAGUUGAAGAAGAAGAAGUGGACAGAGGACAUUCUGAAGGUGCAGGGCCUAUCCAAGAUCCCCACUCUCCAAUCUCAGAGCGCCAUUUCAACAAGCAGUUUUUCGCCUCCGUCAUCUGAAGCUGUAAAGCCGCUGUCCGUUCAGACGUGGCAACCAUCGUCUGAAGCUGUAAAGCCGCUAUCUAUUCAGACGUGGCAACCACCAUCUGAAGUAAAGCCGCUACCCAUCCAGACGUGGCAACCGUCAUCCGUAGUAUCUCACCCGGUUGGAAAUGAAAUCGACGUGAAACCUUUGUCCAGCGGAUGGAGUCAGCUCCCAACCAGGAUCAGUGCCAAUGACUUAGCCGGUCUGAAUAACUUUUUCAUCCCUCUAGAAGCGCGAACUUACCCCCCUGGAGCAUGCGUUCCCGCCAACCAGAACCACUUAAACUACCCUCUCCAGGAGACCAAUACUCUCUCUUUUAAAAGCAUACCGCAACCGCCAAAAGGGUUCGAACAAUUCCAGGAGAUAAAGACUCUCUCCUUUAAUAGUAUACCGCAACCACCAAAAGGGUUCGAACAAUUCCAGGAGAUGAAGACUCUCUCUCUUAAUAGUAUACCCCAACCACCAAAAGGGUUCGAACAAGUUCUUAGUAACUGCGACAACAUCAUCAACCGAGAAAUGAAAAUUUCCUCGGAGGUCGUCGUUCCUCCGGAAAUUCUCGUGCCGGAAAUCAAAGUUUUCUCAUCGAAAAUUGUACAAGGCGCCAGGAAAAAUGAAGAACACAAGGAACACGAGACGCACGAAGAACACAAGAAGCACAAGGAACACGAAAAGCACAAGGAACACGAGGAGAAAAAAGAGCCUAGUUCGGCGGAGGGCCCUGUGAUCGGGAUGGAGUUGUUCCCGGAAUUCAACCAGGUGACGAAGACGAAGAUCCUGAAGGCGCAGAAGAUCGAGAAGGAUGGAAACGUCAUAUUUCUGCCGGAGACCAGGAGCAAGGAACACAAGGAUGAAAAGGAGGAGACACUGGAGGUGGAGGUGCACGUGACGACGUUUAAUUGCACGAAGAGGGACACUCCAGAGAACGAGCGAGUAGGAAAGAUCGACCUGAAGGAGCUACACAAGGGCGAGACGUGGCCCCAUCUCACUUACCUCAAGCUCAUACCGCUGUCUGAGUCCUUCGAGCAGGAGCUCCAGGAGCGAGAUAAGUCCGAGGAGGUGGCUGAGCUCCUCAAAGCCAACGCCACUGCGGACAUCAAGCCCAUUAAUCAGACUGAAGCUGGAGAAUAGUACAAACUUUUAAAUAUAGUUGAAAUUAAUUUAAAUUAAAUCGAUGAAAUAUAUAUGUAAAUAUACUAAUUUAUUCUGCAAAUAUUUUGUAUUCAUUGUUUUGAAAAGGAUGUCCUUCCAUGGGUGUCGAACAAUUGGAUUUUUAGAUUUCUAGGAAAAAGUCUUUACAGUGUAUUGAAGAAUAGUUACAAUUGGUUUUGUUUGUUUUUGUACCAAUGUUGAGCGGACAUUUGAGGCUAAUUCGGCAAUUUCUGACUCAGAACAUGGUGGGCUUGAACUUUAAACAGAUUUUGCUUUAUAUUACGAUUUUUGAACUGAGAGCUUCAAGUCAUCAUACCCCUGGUAUGGUGCGAUCUUUUUAAGCCUUUUACAUUCCAAAAUGUGUUUGGAAAACAGUCCGUUAUGUCUAGUUAUUAAUGACUCAAUCUUGAAUUUUUAUGUCAAAAGGCUUCCUCCGUAAUGGGCGAUCAUUGGACUACAUUUUGCAAUUAGGAACUACUAUAUUAGAAAUGAUUUCAGAAAAAAACGUACGUGGCAUUAGUUUCUCUAUGCAGAUAGGUGUGUUUAUGGAUGAGCCAGGAUUAGUAUUUCCUUAUUUCAAAAUGAAGUCCUUUUGUGUCAUAGUUGGACUGGAAUAACAUAGGCGUCAAUACUGAAUGUCGAAAAAUACGGCUCUCAAUUUGCGACAUUGCAGAUUUCCCGGCACAUAUUAUUUUUCCCGCGAAUAACUAGCGAACAACAUUUCUUGGCAGUUCACUGACGUUUUUCACCCAACAUGGAAUUUACUAUGAAAGUUUAGAAAAAUGAGUGCAUUCAUUUAAUAAAUAAUAGCUACAAUAACAGUGGAAAUUUGGAAAACAUUGCAAUCGAGGCACGCGUUUUGUAACAUAGUCUUUAGUUAGCUUAGUUAACCUAGUUAUUUAGUUAGUAGAAUUGUUCACAGAAUCUGCAUUAAGACUAAGUUUAACUUGAAAUCAUUAAUAUCUCAAUUUUUUCAAAUCUGUACUUAUGCGCCUCGUCCUCCAAGCCUAUCAUAAUAUGAUGUAAAAAUAUUGAUUGAUUUCCUUCUGAAGAAAUGAAGUUUCAGGGUAGCCAUUUUGAAAUACCGCAUAUGAGUUACGUGUUUUUCCGGUUUGAACAUCGUCAUGUAACCCUAUAUCUCGUGUUCCCGGAGCCAGUUCCGCGGUCGGAUCUCCUGUCAACGAGCCCCCGAACGUUUCUAACUUUCCGACGUGAGCGCGUUCAAUUAAGGGCCCCGCGCGGUGCUUUUCGGGGGCAUUUGUCGUCCCUGAAUGAGGAAUAGCGCCGGCUCCUUGCGCGAGGUGGCAGGGGAGCGCCUUUUCAAAAGACGGCUUUGAUUUCGUAUGCAGCUUACGCCUUUGCGCGCUUCGACCCAAAAUCAAAGGUUCCUUCCUCGGCCUCCUUCCCAGUGGCGUGGCGUGCUUUGCGAUAUAUCGAUUGCUCGGCCGUUCAAACCUAUGGAAAAGUAUCGAUGUACAGGGUGUUCGCAGCGAACACCUUAAUAAUCGAUUCUUUACCACAGCUUCAAAUAGGGAAAUAUCGAUAGAUCGCAAAGCACGCCACGCCACUGCUUCUUCCGCGUGUCGCUCGUGGGUUAGUGACUUCCAGAUCGGGAAAUAUAGGGGAGGGCUCCCAGAAAAGGCUUCUCAUUUUCCUCGAAUCAAUUCGGUGUGUGUUCACAUGAUGGCUUGAAUUGGCAAUGAACUUGGUGAACUGCCAGCUCCCAUUUUAAUCUCGUAUUGGUGGACUAACGUACACGAUCCCUUGAAUUCCCGAAAUUAACCUUCGAUUAUCGUGUUGCUAUCCUUGGAUUAAUGAUGUACACUUUGCAGCAAGGAACUUCAAAGCAUUGUAAUACCGCUAAGAUUGUGCGAUUUUUUGGAUCUUACGAUUCAAAUUUGGGGUUUAAACAGUUUAACUAAACAAAAGUUUGUCAACCAAAAAAAAAGUUGAUUAA